UCUUCGGGGGGUGAGGGGAAGAAGGGAGAGAGAAGGGGGGACAGCAACCAGCAGGCUGGGGCGCAGGCAGAAAGCCGGGGGGCCAGCAGCAAGCAGCAAAGCGGCAAAAGCCCCGGAGGCCAGCCCCCAACUCCCCCACAGCAGCUCGGGGGAGGGGCCGGGGCCACCACGGGAGCAGACAGCUCCAUGGCGGGGGCAGGGAGAGGAGCUAGUCAUAACACCAACCCAGGACGAGGAGGACAGAAGUGUUGCCAGUGUGAACAACUAAAACCAAACCACAGAAGUGCAGUUGUACUGACUUUUUCCAAUUACACAGCCAAUGAAGGGAGAUGGAAGCAAGGCAGAUGAACACUUGUAAUAUGAAGUUGGGUAACCCAAGAGGAUUGAAAAGUGAAUGGAAGAUCUUACUCAGAGACAUUCAAGUGGCAACCAAGGUGACAGAAAAACUUUUCACCAUUUUCCACACUCACUGAAGGCCAGGUAAAUAUUUUAGGUCUUAUCUUUAGUCCUUCAAUACAAUCUGUCUCAGCACUAUGGGGACUCUGUAGCCUAUGAUGCUAUGAUAACACUGACAAGAAAGAAAAUAGAAUCAUUUAGAUGGUUUACUCAAUUUUGUUAUCUUUUAUUCUCUCAUGUAUUUCCUACCAUGUCAUAUUGUUGGAAGAUAAGCCACCAGUAACAUAACAUCAGUCACACAUAAAAGCAAUACUACAUUCGCACAGGAGACAAAGUAAUUUUGACAACCUUUAUCAAAUGCUGUUUCACACAACAUAAAAAUAAUAAUACCCACAUAAGCAGAAGCUGGGCAGUAUAAUGAUCAAUAACCUUGUUUUGUGUUGUGGAGUUUCACAGAGGCUCAGUCCAACAACUAUUGAAACAUAGUAGAAAAAUUUCCCUCUGGCUUAGUAAGCUUGGAUCCAGCUCCAGAAAAAAAAAAAAUGACAUAACUUUUAUAUUUGACCAGAAAGCAGGUUCUCUAUGUCCCUUAUCAACCCCAGAUACCAUUCAUUUACAGUCUAGAUACUUAUACUUUAUAAAUAUAGUUUGGGAAGGUAGGGAGAAAUGCCUGGAGAACACAUACUAUGCUGGAGAACAUCUACCAAAGGGAAGAUUUUCUGCAGUGAGUUAGCACUGCUGAUUUGUGUCCAGUGGUACUCUGGUGUAUUAAACUUGCAAAAAGCAAAGAGUUGAUGAAACAUGAGAUUUGUCCUAUCCUCUUUUCUGUACUACUUGUUGUUUUCUAGGAAGUUUUUCUUUUCUAUUCCAAGCCUGGCCUCAAGCAAGAAGUUGCUCUCCUAAGUUCUGUAGUGUUCUGCUACUUUUUGUUCUUAUCUUGUCUCACUUUCUUCUUGCCUUCUGGAAAUACAACAUCUGAACCCAAGUGCAAUUAAUAGCAAAUAAAUUUAGACUUAGGAAAAUUCCCCAAAUGAAACUGGUGAAAGAAGAGCACUCUUAUCUCCUGUGAUAUACUUCUGACAAAGUAUAAUUAAAAUAUUUUCAUGCUGGUUUGCCUGCUCUGUCUGCCUUUUUAAGAAUGAUGAAGUCUAUCAAGCUAU
ensembl:lncRNA